UAAAUACUCUCUAGUGACCGAUAGUGAACCAGUACCGUGAGGGAAAGGUGAAAAGCACCCCGGAAGGGGAGUGAAAUAGAACCUGAAACCGUGUGCUUACAAGUAGUCAGAGCCCGUUAAUGGGUGAUGGCGUGCCUUUUGUAGAAUGAACCGGCGAGUUACGAUUUGAUGCAAGGUUAAGCAGUAAAUGUGGAGCCGUAGCGAAAGCGAGUCUGAAUAGGGCGUUUAGUAUUUGGUCGUAGACCCGAAACCAGGUGAUCUACCCUUGGUCAGGUUGAAGUUCAGGUAACACUGAAUGGAGGACCGAACCGACUUACGUUGAAAAGUGAGCGGAUGAACUGAGGGUAGCGGAGAAAUUCCAAUCGAACCUGGAGAUAGCUGGUUCUCUCCGAAAUAGCUUUAGGGCUAGCCUCAAGUGAUGAUUAUUGGAGGUAGAGCACUGUUUGGACGAGGGGCCCCUCUCGGGUUACCGAAUUCAGACAAACUCCGAAUGCCAAUUAAUUUAACUUGGGAGUCAGAACAUGGGUGAUAAGGUCCGUGUUCGAAAGGGAAACAGCCCAGACCACCAGCUAAGGUCCCAAAAUAUAUGUUAAGUGGAAAAGGAUGUGGCGUUGCCCAGACAACUAGGAUGUUGGCUUAGAAGCAGCCAUCAUUUAAAGAGUGCGUAAUAGCUCACUAGUCGAGUGACACUGCGCCGAAAAUGUACCGGGGCUAAACAUAUUACCGAAGCUGUGGAUUGUCCUUUGGACAAUGGUAGGAGAGCGUUCUAAGGGCGUUGAAGCAUGAUCGUAAGGACAUGUGGAGCGCUUAGAAGUGAGAAUGCCGGUGUGAGUAGCGAAAGACGGGUGAGAAUCCCGUCCACCGAUUGACUAAGGUUUCCAGAGGAAGGCUCGUCCGCUCUGGGUUAGUCGGGUCCUAAGCUGAGGCCGACAGGCGUAGGCGAUGGAUAACAGGUUGAUAUUCCUGUACCACCUAUAAUCGUUUUAAUCGAUGGGGGGACGCAGUAGGAUAGGCGAAGCGUGCGAUUGGAUUGCACGUCUAAGCAGUAAGGCUGAGUAUUAGGCAAAUCCGGUACUCGUUAAGGCUGAGCUGUGAUGGGGAGAAGACAUUGAGUCUUCGAGUCGUUGAUUUCACACUGCCGAGAAAAGCCUCUAGAUAGAAAAUAGGUGCCCGUACCGCAAACCGACACAGGUAGUCAAGAUGAGAAUUCUAAGGUGAGCGAGCGAACUCUCGUUAAGGAACUCGGCAAAAUGACCCCGUAACUUCGGGAGAAGGGGUGCUCUUUAGGGUUAACGCCCAGAAGAGCCGCAGUGAAUAGGCCCAAGCGACUGUUUAUCAAAAACACAGGUCUCUGCUAAACCGUAAGGUGAUGUAUAGGGGCUGACGCCUGCCCGGUGCUGGAAGGUUAAGAGGAGUGGUUAGCUUCUGCGAAGCUACGAAUCGAAGCCCCAGUAAACGGCGGCCGUAACUAUAACGGUCCUAAGGUAGCGAAAUUCCUUGUCGGGUAAGUUCCGACCCGCACGAAAGGCGUAACGAUUUGGGCACUGUCUCAACGAGAGACUCGGUGAAAUCAUAGUACCUGUGAAGAUGCAGGUUACCCGCGACAGGACGGAAAGACCCCGUGGAGCUUUACUGUAGCCUGAUAUUGAAAUUCGGCACAGCUUGUACAGGAUAGGUAGGAGCCUUUGAAACGUGAGCGCUAGCUUACGUGGAGGCGCUGGUGGGAUACUACCCUAGCUGUGUUGGCUUUCUAACCCGCACCACUUAUCGUGGUGGGAGACAGUGUCAGGCGGGCAGUUUGACUGGGGCGGUCGCCUCCUAAAAGGUAACGGAGGCGCUCAAAGGUUCCCUCAGAAUGGUUGGAAAUCAUUCAUAGAGUGUAAAGGCAUAAGGGAGCUUGACUGCGAGACCUACAAGUCGAGCAGGGUCGAAAGACGGACUUAGUGAUCCGGUGGUUCCGCAUGGAAGGGCCAUCGCUCAACGGAUAAAAGCUACCCCGGGGAUAACAGGCUUAUCUCCCCCAAGAGUUCACAUCGACGGGGAGGUUUGGCACCUCGAUGUCGGCUCAUCGCAUCCUGGGGCUGUAGUCGGUCCCAAGGGUUGGGCUGUUCGCCCAUUAAAGCGGUACGCGAGCUGGGUUCAGAACGUCGUGAGACAGUUCGGUCCCUAUCCGUCGUGGGCGUAGGAAAUUUGAGAGGAGCUGUCCUUAGUACGAGAGGACCGGGAUGGACAUACCUCUGGUGUACCAGUUGUCGUGCCAACGGCAUAGCUGGGUAGCUAUGUGUGGACGGGAUAAGUGCUGAAAGCAUCUAAGCAUGAAGCCCCCCUCAAGAUGAGAUUUCCCAACUUCGGUUAUAAGAUCCCUCAAAGAUGAUGAGGUUAAUAGGUUCGAGGUGGAAGCAUGGUGACAUGUGGAGCUGACGAAUACUAAUCGAUCGAAGACUUAAUCAA
rnacentral:rRNA from 1 species